UACGUAGGGGCCGAGCGUUUGUCCGGAGUUAUUGGGCGUAAAGCGCGCGCAGGCGGCCUCGCGCGCCCGACGUGAAAGCCCCCGGCUUAACCGGGGAGGGUCGUUUGGGGACGGCGGGGCUUGAGGGCGGGAGAGGUCGGUGGAAUUCCCGGUGUAGUGGUGAAAUGCGUAGAGAUCGGGAGGAACACCUGUGGCGAAGGCGGCCGACUGGGCCGACCCUGACGCUGAGGCGCGGAAGGCGUGGGGAGCGAACAGG
rnacentral:rRNA from 1 species